AGUGAACGCUGGCGGUAGGCCUAACACAUGCAAGUCGAACGGCAGCACAGUAAGAGCUUGCUCUUACGGGUGGCGAGUGGCGGACGGGUGAGGAAUACAUCGGAAUCUACUUUUUCGUGGGGGAUAACGUAGGGAAACUUACGCUAAUACCGCAUACGACCUACGGGUGAAAGCAGGGGAUCUUCGGACCUUGCGCGAUUGAAUGAGCCGAUGUCGGAUUAGCUAGUUGGCGGGGUAAAGGCCCACCAAGGCGACGAUCCGUAGCUGGUCUGAGAGGAGGGUCAGCCACACUGGAACUGAGACGCGGUCCAGACUCCUACGGGAGGGAGCAGUGGGGAAUGUUGGACAAUGGGCGGAAGCCUGGUCCAGCCAUACCGAGUGGGUGGAGGAGGCCUUCGGGUUGUAAAGCCGUUUUGUUGGGAAAGAAAAGCAGCAGGUUAAUACCCCGCUGUUCUGACGGUACCCAAAGAAUAAGCACCGGCUAACUUCGUG
rnacentral:rRNA from 1 species